UGGAAGACUAGUGAUUUUGUUGUUUUUAGAUAACUAAAUUGACAACAAAUCACAGUCUGCCAUA
ensembl:miRNA